UACGAAGGGGGCUAGCGUUGCUCGGAAUUACUGGGCGUAAAGCGCGCGUAGGCGGGUCGUUAAGUCGGGGGUGAAAUCCUGGAGCUCAACUCCAGAACUGCCUUCGAUACUGGCGAUCUUGAGUCCGGGAGAGGUGAGUGGAACUCCGAGUGUAGAGGUGAAAUUCGUAGAUAUUAGGAAGAACACCAGUGGCGAAGGCGGCUCACUGGUCCGGUACUGACGCUGAGGUGCGAAAGCGUGGGGAGCAAACAGG
rnacentral:rRNA from 1 species